CUGCAGCUGCGUGGCAGCAGGGUUACUUUGGUCUUUUCACCUCCCAUACUUAUCCCCAACACCCCAGCACGACCCCAGGAGCUGAGGUAUGGUUGCUCGAGCUCAGGGUAUCAUCUUCUCCACUCUCUCUCUCUAGGGUUCUCUCUCUCUACGAGUAAAGUCGCCGUUUGCGCCGAUUUCGCGCCGCUCUCGUCGCUCGCUAUUUAGGUGGACUUAGGGCCAGCUUUUAAAAGGGAUUCCAGCAGCUAGAGGUGAGAUUUUUAGCUGUGAAUUGACCCCCUUAGACCAGGGAUGAUCUAAUUUGAAGCUUGCUUGAGCAUGUUUCUAAACCUUAUUGAAUCGAAUUGGUGAUCUUGGGAACUGGUUUGGAAGAUGUUCUAACAAGGGCGAGAAUUCAACUGACCUUUGGGUCAUCUUUGGUUUGCUUUGGGAAGCCUUUCGAGACUUAAUUUGAGCGGAGUUGAGAUCUAUUGGAGUUGACUGUGGGACAUAGUAAUAGAGCCAGCUACUGGAGAGGUUGGGGAUCGUGGCAAAGGAGUCUCGUCUAGCUAGACAUUGCUAGGAGCAUGCUAGUCGAUCACCUUGUUACUCGGGCUACGGCCGAGGGUGAUGUCCCUAUGUAUAGAGAGACUACCAUUGUAUCUAAUUUUUGUUUACCCGUGUUGUAUAUUUGCUAUUUGGACCGAGAAUUACAGUUGUGAUACUUCUCUUCUGUCGAGAUUUUUGGAUUGUAUGUUUUUGUUCUUUUGCUUAUAGUAU